rnacentral:misc_RNA from 1 species
CCCAACUAUCCCUAUUAAUCAUUACGAUGCUCCUAGAAACCAACAAAAUAGAAUCAUCGUCCUAUUCUAUUAUUCCAUGCUAAUGUAUUCCGGCAUAAGCCUGCUUUAAACACUCUAAUUUUUUCAAGGUAAAGGUCCUGACUACUCGCAACACCCAAUAAAGGGCAUUACGCAUCACCAGGCGGUGAGGCCCGACCGACCAGUACUCGUUACAAGAACGGACCAACCGGCCAAACCCAAAAUUCAACUACGAGCUUUUUAACUGCAACAACUUUAAUAUACGCUAUUGGAGCUGGAAUUACCGCGGCUGCUGGCACCAGACUUGCCCUCCAA